GAGUUUGAUCCUGGCUCAGAUUGAACGCUGGCGGCAGGCUUAACACAUGCAAGUCGAGCGGAAACGAUGGUAGCUUGCUACCAGGCGUCGAGCGGCGGACGGGUGAGUAAUACUUAGGAAUCUACCUAGUAGUGGGGGAUAGCACGGGGAAACUCGUAUUAAUACCGCAUACGACCUACGGGAGAAAGGGGGCAGUUUACUGCUCUCGCUAUUAGAUGAGCCUAAGUCGGAUUAGCUAGAUGGUGGGGUAAAGGCCUACCAUGGCGACGAUCUGUAGCUGGUCUGAGAGGAUGAUCAGCCACACCGGGACUGAGACACGGCCCGGACUCCUACGGGAGGCAGCAGUGGGGAAUAUUGGACAAUUGGGGAAACCCUGAUCCAGCCAUGCCGCGUGUGUGAAGAAGGCCUUUUGGUUGUAAAGCACUUUAAGCAGUGAAGAAGACUCUUCGGUUAAUACCCGGAGACGAUGACAUUAGCUGCAGAAUAAGCACCGGCUAACUCUGUGCCAGCAGCCGCGGUAAUACAGAGGGUGCAAGCGUUAAUCGGAAUUACUGGGCGUAAAGCGAGCGUAGGUGGCUUGAUAAGUCAGAUGUGAAAUCCCCGGGCUUAACCUGGGAACUGCAUCUGAAACUGUUAGGCUAGAGUAGGUGAGAGGGAAGUAGAAUUUCAGGUGUAGCGGUGAAAUGCGUAGAGAUCUGAAGGAAUACCGAUGGCGAAGG
rnacentral:rRNA from 1 species